AUUAACUUUUAUAAAUAAUCUAUUAUAAAUAAAUCAAAGUAUUACUUGUUAUUAAAUGAAGUAUUAAUGAGUUGCUUUUUAUGUGAUACUUUUUACACAUAUAUAGAUAUAAGAACAAAAAGAGACAUGUGGACAAACAAUUAGAAUAAUAAUAAUAAUAAUAAAAAAAAAAAGGAAAACGAAAUAACAAAGGAUGAUAAAUGAUAGGAUUAUGAUAGAUGAAAAGUAGUUAAUUGUAGUAGUUAAUGUAUCGUAUAAAGUAGUAGUAGUAGUAGUAGUAGUAGUGUAUAGUAUAUAUAGUAUAUUUGCGGUUUCGCAUAGUGUCUAUCCUUGUCUCUCUGUCACAUUUUCUGUCUCUUUCUAUCUCUCUCUCUCUUUUUCAAAGUUAAACGCUUGAGCAGCGCAGUCAUUAUCGCGCGUGCGAGGUUACCAGUUCGCAGUCGCGUCACAGCGCCGGUGUAGACGCGUCGUCGUCGUCGUUGUCCUCCUCGUCGUCGUCUUCGUCAACGUCGUUGUGUUCUUUCCUGGAUAGAUUAAUUCCAAAAGCGGAAACUAAAAAAAAAAAAGAAAGAGGAAGAAGAAUCAUUUAGAGGAAACGUCAAACAAUUUUUCUUACCAUAUUUGAGAAGAAGAAGAAGAAGAAGAAAAAGAAAAAGAAAAAGAAGAAGAAAUAGUGAAAAUUUGAUUUGGAAAACGUUUGCAAUACAAUUGUGUUUUCAUUUAGUUACUUCCCAAUUAUUUCAUAUAUAAUUUUCAAAGAUCAUUCUAAUUCUUACUUGUCAAUCCGCCAUUAUUUUCAAUACUAUCGUUUGAAUAUUUAUUUCAAUAUCGAAGAAAGAAAAAAUACAAAAAAAAUAUAGCGAAAUGUUUCGCGAUUGGUUUCAACGUGUUCGACAAAAAUUGUCUUUCCGUUAUGUUUGAAAAUCAAACCAACAUAAAAGAAAACCAAAAAAAUGAUCGUUUAUCUCAAUUCGGGCGUUGUAAUAUCGUAGAAUAAUAAUAAUAAUAAUAAUAAUAAUAAAAA